rnacentral:rRNA from 2 species
CUAACGGCUGAACCAGCAACUUGGAGGAAUGUAUAGCUACGGCUAAUUGUGUAUAACUACACGAUAUCGACUCUGUCGAAUAAAAUUCUGGGUAAAUUAUGAUGAUGACAUUUUUUACCUAUGUGUCUUGACCAAAUUGUGUGCCAGCAGUCGCGGUAAUACAUAGAAGACUAGUGUUAUUCAUCUUUAAUAGGUUUAAAGGGUACCUAGACGGUAGAUCAAGCCCUAGACGGGACUAAUUUGCUAGAGUUACUUAUGAGGGGGCUUUAAAGUACUAAUGGUGUAGAGAUAAAAUUUUGUAAUACCAUUUUUCGUAAAGAAAAAUUAUGGCACUGGUAAAGGUGAAAGCAUCCCCCUAUGUGA